AUUGAACGCUGGCGGCAUGCCUUACACAUGCAAGUCGAACGGCAGCACGGGAGCUUGCUCCUGGUGGCGAGUGGCGAACGGGUGAGUAAUACAUCGGAACGUGCCCUGAAGUGGGGGAUAACGUAGCGAAAGUUACGCUAAUACCGCAUAUUCUGUGAGCAGGAAAGCAGGGGAUCGCAAGACCUUGCGCUUUAGGAGCGGCCGAUGUCGGAUUAGCUAGUUGGUGAGGUAAAGGCUCACCAAGGCGACGAUCCGUAGCGGGUCUGAGAGGAUGAUCCGCCACACUGGGACUGAGACACGGCCCAGACUCCUACGGGAGGCAGCAGUGGGGAAUUUUGGACAAUGGGCGCAAGCCUGAUCCAGCCAUGCCGCGUGAGUGAUGAAGGUUUUCGGAUUGUAAAGCUCUGUCUUCCGGGACGAUAAUGACGGUACCGGAGGAGGAAGCCACGGCUAACUACGUGCCAGCAGCCGCGGUAACACG
rnacentral:rRNA from 1 species